rnacentral:rRNA from 1 species
UACGUAGGGUGCAAGCGUUAAUCGGAAUUACUGGGCGUAAAGCGUGCGCAGGCGGUCUUGCAAGACAGGUGUGAAAUCCCCGGGCUUAACCUGGGAACUGCACUUGUGACUGCAAGGCUGGAGUACGGCAGAGGGGGAUGGAAUUCCGCGUGUAGCAGUGAAAUGCGUAGAUAUGCGGAGGAACACCGAUGACGAAGGCAAUCCCCUGGGCCUGCACUGACGCUCAUGCACGAAAGCGUGGGGAGCAAACAGG